UACGUAGGGGGCUAGCGUUGUCCGGAAUCAUUGGGCGUAAAGAGCGCGUAGGCGGCUGGAAUAGUCCGGUGUGAAAUCCACAGGCUUAACCUGUGAAUGCCGCUGGAAACUGUCUGGCUGGAGUCCGGAAGGGGCGAGUGGAAUUCCUGGUGUAGCGGUGAAAUGCGCAGAUAUCGGGAAGAACACCCGUGGCGAAGGCGGCUCUCUGGGACGGUACUGACGCUGAGACGCGAAAGCGUGGGGGAGCGAACAGG
rnacentral:rRNA from 1 species